CGCCGGCGCAUUGUGGAGACGGGCAGCGCGGACGAGCUACGGAGAGCCGAGGGCCACGUCCGCGCGAUGCUGCUGCACCUAUACGCCGGC
rnacentral:miRNA from 1 species